AGAGUUUGAUCCUGGCUCAGGAUGAACGCUAGCUACAGGCUUAACACAUGCAAGUCGAGGGGCAGCAUGGUCUUAGCUUGCUAAGACCGAUGGCGACCGGCGCACGGGUGAGUAACGCGUAUCCAACCUGCCUUACACUCUUGGACAGCCUUCUGAAAGGGAGAUUAAUACAAGAUGUUAUCAUGAGUAAGCAUUUUCACAUGAUUAAAGGUUUACCGAUGUAAGAUGGGGAUGCGUUCCAUUAGAUAGUAGGCGGGGUAACGGCCACCUAGUCUUCGAUGGAUAGGGGUUCUGAGAGGAAGGUCCCCCANAUUGGAACUGAGACACGGUCCAAACUCCUACGGGAGGCA
rnacentral:rRNA from 1 species